GGGUCAGUACCAGAGUGGCCAAAUGGGGCAGACUGUAAAUCUGCUGACUUCGUCUUCGGUGGUUCGAAUCCAUCCUGGCCCA
rnacentral:tRNA from 2 species